GUCUCCUCACAAAUGUUUCUUGAAUUAACCAAACAAGGAAGUGCAUCUCCUUACAAAUGUUGCUUGAAUUGCCCAAGCAAGGAAGUGCGUCUCCAAUGUUGCUUGAAUUACCAAACAAGAAAGUGUGUCUCCUUUGGAAGUGCGUCUCCUUAUGAUAGCGCUUGAAUUACCAAAAUAAGGAAGUGUGUCUCCUUACAAAUGUUGCUUGAAUUGUCCAAACAAGGAAGUGUGUCCCCUUACAAAUG
rnacentral:lncRNA from 1 species